CAUGUGUAAUUGUCUGAUAUACUGUAUAUUAAAUGUGUUCUGUAGUGAAUACACAUUCAAUCAUACUGGAUCAUCAACCAUAGAUGACAGUAGGUUUGGCAACUAGUUCAGGCGUCUUAAGUCAACAGAAAGAAGGCAGAGGCUAGAACAACUGGUGGAGGACCUGCACCACCACCACUGAUGCAUGCAGAGGAGAAGGCACUCAGCCUGAACACUGGAAAGUAGGGGCUGAAGGAAUUCCUGGAGGGAGUUCAUUAGAACCAGUCACUCCCCAGGAUACAAGUGCAUUUGUAAAAUGUUCUGAUGGUAAUAUCAGCCUCUUGGAUCCUCCUGUCACAACAGAAGCUCAGGCUGUUAGUGUGAAGGACAGAAGGAAGAAGGGUACAUCACAUUCUGCUGCACAGAUGCACACAUUACUGGUUAAGGAGUUGUAUAAACUAAAUCUCAAGGAAAUGUUAUACUUGGACCGCCAGAUUAAAAAGACAGAUCUAGAAACUGAAAUUCUCAAACAAAAGCUGGAGGUGAGUGUAUAGUUAAAGGUGAAUUGUAUGAAUUAUUGGAAGAAUCAUAAAAUCUAACAAUUGCCUUUGUAUUUGUAGGAAAUGAAGAAAACCAAAUAAAUUAUGAUUUGCAUUUA